CGUCAGCUCGUGUCGUGAGAUGUUCGGUUAAGUCCGGCAACGAGCGCAACCCACGUCCUUAGUUGCCAAUUAUGGAACUCUAGGGAAACUGCCCGUGAUAAGCGGGAGGAAGGUGUGGAUGACGUCAAGUCCUCAUGGCCCUUACGGGUUGGGCUACACACGUGCUACAAUGGCAGUGACAAUGGGUUAAUCCCCAAAAACUGUCUCAGUUCGGAUUGUUCUCUGCAACUCGAGAGCAUGAAGUCGGAAUCGCUAGUAAUCGCGUAACAGCAUGACGCGGUGAAUACGUUCCCGGGCCUU
rnacentral:rRNA from 1 species